CGUUUAGAGUGGAGAAAGAGAAUCUAUAUAGCUGACCCCAAAUUUUUGGAAUAAAGGUUUAGUUGAGAUGAGUUGAUUAAAAUGGCGAUUUAACUUGCAUGUGGAUAUAAGCAGAGAGGAAAGAAUUUUUCGAAUUCAUGGUUAAAAAAAAAAUUAUUGUUGUACCUGAGGAUAUCCUUUACAAAGAGCAUAUAUUUGGCAAACUGCUGAACAUUUAAUUGUUGGGAAGUGAGAAGAAGGAUAAGUAGAGGAAGGACAUACUCUGCCACAAAUUCUACUCCAUACUGCUUAGAAAUUGAAUUUGCAACUUCAGGGGGUACACAUAAGGGUAGGAGCACGACAGUCAACAGCUGUACAACAUUGAAUUGUUUGCAAGAUUUCUAGAACAGCAUAUUUAUCGAGUGUGUGAACAAGAACCCCAAAGCAUAACAGAGCAUUGACUCUUACAAUAGAAACAAAUUCCAAGCUGUUGAUUAAUAUAUGCAAUUCACCCAAAAAGCAUGGAUGCAUCACAAAUCUCUCACAGGUACAACUUUUCUCUUUAGGUGUUCACAUGAACAGACCAACUCAUUAGAAUCAGGUACAUUAGCAGAAAGAUCAAAACAAAAUAAUUGAAUAUGAGCGAUAAAUAAAUACAGAAACAAGCAUACUGCAGCAAGGGUUGUUUUUAGUGCUAAUCCAUGGACACGAGGCAAAAUUGAAUGUUUCACUAGCUGAACAUCAAGUUGCUUAGCAAGAGAAGGAGAUUUUUUCAGGACUUCCUCUUGAAUGCGCAGAUCAGUAUCAUCAUAAGCUCGAACGAGCAACGGCAGGACAUGGAAUAUGAAGUUCUCCUGAGUAGUCAUCCAAUUCACUUAUCCAGCGAUCGAUCAACACAAUCGACAAAGAGGGCAUGUCUUAGUCUUACUCUUACUCUCCUUCAGCCGCUCCAUGAUGCAGUUGCCAUGGUAGACAUGAGAACAUGGCAACCACCUAGCUUCCGACCCGAUCGACAAUUGGCCCAAGCAAAUCGAGCACACCAAACCCGAUUCUUCGAUUCUGAUCACCUCGAGCUUUUCAAAGAGUUGGGCACUGGCGGGCUGUGUAUUUGGACCAUCUUCAUCAGUAGCUAAUUCCGCCAUCGCCAAAGCAUCUUCGUCGUUGCCCAUCAAAACCAGUAGCGGUAACGCAGGGGAGGACUCUUGGGAACCUGAUAGUCGCCCCAUGAAACCCUUAAGCUCGUCACCCAAGAAAGACUCAAAUUUUUCGUUAUCCCCGAAGAGAAGAGUAGAGAAUAACUGAGACAUUUUCGAAAGCAGUACGAAGAAGAAGAAGAAGGAGAAGAGGUAGAAGGAAAAGGAAGAUGACUUGCUUGACAGAU
rnacentral:misc_RNA from 1 species